UGGCGGACGGGUGAGUAACGCGUAAAGAACUUGCCCUUUAGACUGGGAUAACAGAGGGAAACUUCUGAUAAUACUGUAUAAGUUAGUAUAUCGCAUGAUAUGCAAAUGAAAGCUACGGCACUAAAGGAGAGCUUUGCGUCCUAUUAGCUAGUUGGUAAGGUAAGAGCUUACCAAGGCGAUGAUAGGUAGCCGGCCUGAGAGGGUGGACGGCCACAAGGGGACUGAGAUACGGCCCUUACUCCUACGGGAGGCAGCAGGA
rnacentral:rRNA from 1 species